rnacentral:rRNA from 1 species
UACAGAGGGUGCAAGCGUUGUUCGGAAUCAUUGGGCGUAAAGCGCGUGUAGGCGGUCCGGUAAGUCCGCUGUGAAAGUCGGGGGCUCAACCCUCGAAAGCCGGUGGAAACUGUCGGGCUAGAGUGCGGAAGAGGCGAGUGGAAUUCCUGGUGUAGCGGUGAAAUGCGCAGAUAUCAGGAGGAACACCAAUUGCGAAGGCAGCUCGCUGGGACGUUACUGACGCUGAGACGCGAAAGCGUGGGGAGCAAACAGG